GGGUUGUGAGGUUAAGCGACUAAGCGUACACGGUGGAUGCCCUGGCAGUCAGAGGCGAUGAAGGACGUGCUAAUCUGCGAAAAGCGUCGGUAAGGUGAUAUGAACCGUUAUAACCGGCGAUGUCCGAAUGGGGAAACCCAGUGCAAUUCGUUGCACUAUCGUUAACUGAAUACAUAGGUUAACGAGGCGAACCGGGGGAACUGAAACAUCUAAGUACCCCGAGGAAAAGAAAUCAACUGAGAUUCCCCCAGUAGCGGCGAGCGAACGGGGAGCAGCCCAGAGUCUGAAUCAGCUUGUGUGUUAGUGGAACGGUCUGGAAAGUCCGACGGUACAGGGUGAUAGUCCCGUACACCAAAAUGCACAGGUUGUGAACUCGAAGAGUAGGGCGGGACACGUGGUAUCCUGUCUGAAUAUGGGGGGACCAUCCUCCAAGGCUAAAUACUCCUGACUGACCGAUAGUGAACCAGUACCGUGAGGGAAAGGCGAAAAGAACCCCGGCGAGGGGAGUGAAAAAGAACCUGAAACCGUGUACGUACAAGCAGUGGGAGCACCUUCGGGUGUGACUGCGUACCUUUUGUAUAAUGGGUCAGCGACUUAUAUUCUGUAGCAAGGUUAACCGUAUAGGGGAGCCGCAGGGAAACCGAGUCUUAACUGGGCGUUAAGUUGCAGGGUAUAGACCCGAAACCCGGUGAUCUAGCCAUGGGCAGGUUGAAGGUUGGGUAACACUAACUGGAGGACCGAACCGACUAAUGUUGAAAAAUUAGCGGAUGACUUGUGGCUGGGGGUGAAAGGCCAAUCAAACCGGGAGAUAGCUGGUUCUCCCCGAAAGCUAUUUAGGUAGCGCCUCGUGAAUUCAUCUUCGGGGGUAGAGCACUGUUUCGGCUAGGGGGUCAUCCCGACUUACCAACCCGAUGCAAACUACGAAUACCGAAGAAUGUUAUCACGGGAGACACACGGCGGGUGCUAACGUCCGUCGUGAAGAGGGAAACAACCCAGACCGCCAGCUAAGGUCCCAAAGUCAUGGUUAAGUGGGAAACGAUGUGGGAAGGCACAGACAGCCAGGAUGUUGGCUUAGAAGCAGCCAUCAUUUAAAGAAAGCGUAAUAGCUCACUGGUCGAGUCGGCCUGCGCGGAAGAUGUAACGGGGCUAAACCAUGCACCGAAGCUGCGGCAGCGACACUAUGUGUUGUUGGGUAGGGGAGCGUUCUGUAAGCCUGCGAAGGUGUGCUGUGAGGCAUGCUGGAGGUAUCAGAAGUGCGAAUGCUGACAUAAGUAACGAUAAAGCGGGUGAAAAGCCCGCUCGCCGGAAGACCAAGGGUUCCUGUCCAACGUUAAUCGGGGCAGGGUGAGUCGACCCCUAAGGCGAGGCCGAAAGGCGUAGUCGAUGGGAAACAGGUUAAUAUUCCUGUACUUGGUGUUACUGCGAAGGGGGGACGGAGAAGGCUAUGUUAGCCGGGCGACGGUUGUCCCGGUUUAAGCAUGUAGGCUGGUUGUCCAGGCAAAUCCGGAUAAUCAAGGCUGAGGUGUGAUGACGAGGCACUACGGUGCUGAAGUAACAAAUGCCCUGCUUCCAGGAAAAGCCUCUAAGCAUCAGGUAACAUCAAAUCGUACCCCAAACCGACACAGGUGGUCAGGUAGAGAAUACCAAGGCGCUUGAGAGAACUCGGGUGAAGGAACUAGGCAAAAUGGUGCCGUAACUUCGGGAGAAGGCACGCUGGUGUGUAGGUGAAGUCCCUGCGGAUGGAGCUGAGACCAGUCGAAGAUACCAGCUGGCUGCAACUGUUUAUUAAAAACACAGCACUGUGCAAACACGAAAGUGGACGUAUACGGUGUGACGCCUGCCCGGUGCCGGAAGGUUAAUUGAUGGGGUUAUCCGUAAGGAGAAGCUCUUGAUCGAAGCCCCGGUAAACGGCGGCCGUAACUAUAACGGUCCUAAGGUAGCGAAAUUCCUUGUCGGGUAAGUUCCGACCUGCACGAAUGGCGUAAUGAUGGCCAGGCUGUCUCCACCCGAGACUCAGUGAAAUUGAACUCGCUGUGAAGAUGCAGUGUACCCGCGGCAAGACGGAAAGACCCCGUGAACCUUUACUAUAGCUUGACACUGAACAUUGAGCCUUGAUGUGUAGGAUAGGUGGGAGGCUUUGAAGCGUGGACGCCAGUCUGCGUGGAGCCAACCUUGAAAUACCACCCUUUAAUGUUUGAUGUUCUAACGUUGGCCCCUUACCGGGGUUGCGGACAGUGUCUGGUGGGUAGUUUGACUGGGGCGGUCUCCUCCCAAAGCGUAACGGAGGAGCACGAAGGUUAGCUAAUCCUGGUCGGACAUCAGGAGGUUAGUGCAAUGGCAUAAGCUAGCUUGACUGCGAGCGUGACGGCGCGAGCAGGUGCGAAAGCAGGUCAUAGUGAUCCGGUGGUUCUGAAUGGAAGGGCCAUCGCUCAACGGAUAAAAGGUACUCCGGGGAUAACAGGCUGAUACCGCCCAAGAGUUCAUAUCGACGGCGGUGUUUGGCACCUCGAUGUCGGCUCAUCACAUCCUGGGGCUGAAGUAGGUCCCAAGGGUAUGGCUGUUCGCCAUUUAAAGUGGUACGCGAGCUGGGUUUAGAACGUCGUGAGACAGUUCGGUCCCUAUCUGCCGUGGGCGCUGGAGAAUUGAGGGGGGCUGCUCCUAGUACGAGAGGACCGGAGUGGACGCAUCACUGGUGUUCGGGUUGUCAUGCCAAUGGCACUGCCCGGUAGCUAAAUGCGGAAGAGAUAAGUGCUGAAAGCAUCUAAGCACGAAACUUGCCCCGAGAUGAGUUCUCCCUGAGACUUUAAGUCUCCUGAAGGAACGUUGAAGACGACGACGUUGAUAGGCCGGGUGUGUAAGCGCAGCGAUGCGUUGAGCUAACCGGUACUAAUGAACCGUGAGGCUUAACCUUACAACGCCGAAG
rnacentral:rRNA from 1 species